GCCUUCAGCGAGAGCCAAUCAUUUGCAUAUCACCAUGGCACUACAGUUGUAUAUCAUGUGUGCGGUGUUAUCAUGAAGCCUUAAAGCCUGCAUAAACCAAAUCAAAGGAAAUGCUUUAACAGGCCGUUAUGUCUGGGUCUCUGAAAGAUUCCCCCUGGAGCUCUGAGCAAGGCUCACCCUAGACGACCUGGUCUGGCUGCUCCCUGUUCCCACUGACCUUUGGGCAGAGGACACAUCUCUGGCUGCAAGCACAGCAUAUGGUCCGUAGGCCACAACAUUGUCUGAGCCAGUCGUGUCAGAUCAGAAGAAGGGGAAGUCCUAAAAGGGGAACCUUUUAUCUUGGUGACACCGCUUUUCACCUCCACUGGUGACUUACUGGGGGCCGGUGCUCCUGUUGCACCCUGGGAUACCAAACGAUGGAGGAUGCCUCUAGCCCACGUACCCUGGCAACCGUUCUUGAAGCCUACAGCUCCACUCUCCAAACCUCCACCCCCUAACCCCUCCACUCCAUCCCUUCACCCAGCGUCCCCAGUCCAGGGCUCUGGCCACACAUAAACCCCAGACAGGCCUCUGAUGGAUGGGGCUGGAGAGAGAAGAAAAGCCCUUGAUGUUAGAAAUAAAUCUGACAGGCCCUACUGGAAAGGGCUAGGCCUAAUCUUUCCCAGACUAAGGUUUUUUCCUUUUCUUAUUUUUUAUAUCCUUCUCUCUCUUUAUUUCCACCCCCACUCUCUUCUCUUCGUCCAUGUCUACAGAGAUAAUGCUGUAAUUUACAGCCAAGCAUUAUGGAAGAUGAAUGAUAGUUGCUUUUUAGACUUAAUACACAUUAGCCUUUAACAGAUAAUAGCCUACUGGUAAGAGGAAAACAAAGAAAUACCUUCAAAAGGAAUUUGUUUUUUGGUCAUAUUCUUCCCCUGAUGUUCUAAAUGUUAUAUAAUUCCUAUUCUUUCAUAAGAUUCAAAGUUGCUACUGAUCAAAGUACACUGAUCAAUCUUCUUUUCAAAGGUACCUUGCUUUUAUUUUUCAUAUUCAUGGUUAAAGUAUGGUGGAGAAUAGACAGUAAAGCAAUGCUUUUCCCAUUUCUAUGACUGUUUGUGAUUCUCCUGAGUGUAUACAUGUGUGACACUGGCUGUAAAGAAACACUGUGGAUAUAAUUUGAAACACACACGAACACACACACACAGGUCAACAGCAGAUCCACAACAGUGGUUUCAGGGCCACUGACAGUCACUCAAUUAGCUAACCAUUUUUAGAUUGGUAAGUUACUUUAGCCAGUUAUCUAAACUUGUAGUAGUCAUGGCCGAAUAGGGACCGGGCACGCAAGGCACGUGCCCAGGGGCCCUGACCUCCAAGGGGCCACCAUUGAUUUUGUUAGUCACUUUCACUCAGGUAUCAUUAACAUGGCAAAAUGUGUAUAAUUGUAGGAAAUUUGCUUUAAAUCUGCUAAGAUUUCUCUUCACCCCAUGGCAAAAUGGGUAGAACUGCAGAAAACUUGCUUUAAAACUGCAACAACAACAAAAGCUUUUCUCUACCCUAUGGCAAAAUGUGUAGAAUUGGAAAUGAACUUUAAACGUACAUUUCUCUCCCCAGUCAAGAGGUGGGCCACUAAAAAUGUUUGCUCGCUUGUUUAGGGCCCCCAAAAUGCUAGAGUGGUUUGGUUCUGCAUGCAUCAGCCAGCUCCGUGCUAUAGCAGAGGAUCAGCCUUGCGGACAGUGGAGUGUGCAGUGCAGGAAUCCCAGUGUCUGUCCUCUGGCCAGUCUCCACAGUUUCCCCUGGGAACCUCCAUUGACUCUUCUGAAUGGCCCUAAUGACCUGAGCUGCUCCCAGGCCGCUGGCCAACGCUCUAACAGGUGGCAUGCAGGGGUGAAAGAUCAAGUCAAUGUGUGUGUCAAUAGGUUACCUAACACAGAGACACAAUCAAAGCAGUAAAUGGACCCUAAAACACGACCUUAUUCACUUUAGUCAAACGGACUAAUUUCAAGUUGUAUUUUCACUGACAUUAAUUACCUCUGCAGAAAUGACAUUCGUAUGUGUUUAUUUUGGUUCGUUAGGUCAAGUCAACCUUACUGAAAAUGAAUGGAUAAAACCAAACAAAUACAGUAAUCAGAAUAAGAGCUCAACCAUGCUGUACACGGAGCAUGGGGUUUGGACCCCACAUGUUUUUUUACACUAUGGUGUAGAAAUGAAAGCCUAGAUUCAAUCAGAUCAGGCGUUAGCUGAAGGUAGCGACACCCGCAUAGCUGAUGCUUAGGUGGUGUCGGAGGUGGAAAUGCGUUGGAGUUGAGCAGCUGCUCUUGGGAUCAUUGUCACGCAGCCACACCCGUCUCACUCGCGUUAGAAGUUCAGAACCAGAAAGUGUAUCCUAUAUAGAAAUAAUGACG
rnacentral:lncRNA from 1 species